rnacentral:rRNA from 1 species
GGUGAAAUGCGCAGAUAUCAGGAGGAACACCGAUGGCGAAGGCAGGUCUCUGGGCUGUAACUGACGCUGAGGAGCGAAAGCAUGGGGAGCGAACAGGAUUAGAUACCCUGGUAGUCCAUGCCGUAAACGUUGGGCACUAGGUGUGGGGGACAUUCCACGUUUUCCGCGCCGUAGCUAACGCAUUAAGUGCCCCGCCUGGGGAGUACGGCCGCAAGGCUAAAACUCAAAGGAAUUGACGGGGGCCCGCACAAGCGGCGGAGCAUGCGGAUUAAUUCGAUGCAACGCGAAGAACCUUACCAAGGCUUGACAUGAACCGGAAUGAUGCAGAGAUGUGUCAGCCACUUGUGGCCGGUUUACAGGUGGUGCAUGGUUGUCGUCAGCUCGUGUCGUGAGAUGUUGGGUUAAGUCCCGCAACGAGCGCAACCCUCGUUCCAUGUUGCCAGCGGGUUAUGCCGGGGACUCAUGGGAGACUGCCGGGGUCAACUCGGAGGAAGGUGGGGACGACGUCAAAUCAUCAUGCCCCUUAUGUCUUGGGCUUCACGCAUGCUACAAUGGCCGGUACAAAGGGUUGCGAUACUGUGAGGUGGAGCUAAUCCCAAAAAGCCGGUCUCAGUUCGGAUUGAGGUCUGCAACUCGACCUCAUGAAGUUGGAGUCGCUAGUAAUCGCAGAUCAGCAACGCUGCGGUGAAUACGUUCCCGGGCCUU